AUAAGCCAAAAUUGUGAUUGGGAAAUCGUAGUCUUCCACCGACGUUUCAAACUUAAGUAUCUUCUAUUACCCUCAACCAAAUCCAAUAUCAAAAUGCCUGCCCCAUGUGAACCCUGCAAAGACUCCUGCAAAGAUGGCGCUGAUUGCAAGGAUAACUGCACCUGUGAAGACAACUGCUCAGAUUGUUCUAAGACAGGUGGUUGCUGUUAAUAAAGAGGACCUCGCUCACUAGAAUGGAGAAACGUGCUGUGGCUCUUGGAUGGAUCUGAAAUUCUAGUUUAAUUCACAUUUAGUUGUUCAUGAAA